rnacentral:rRNA from 1 species
AUGCUGACCAAGUUCGAGACCAAGAGCAACCGCGUCAAGGGGCUCGCCUUCCACCCGCGCCGCCCAUGGAUCCUCGCCAGCCUCCACAGCGGGGUCGUCCAGAUGUGGGACUACCGCAUGGGCACCCUCCUCGACCGCUUCGACGAGCACGACGGCCCCGUCCGCGGCGUCCACUUCCACAAGACACAGCCGCUCUUCGUAUCCGGAGGUGACGAUUACAAGAUCAAGGUGUGGAACUACAAAACCCACCGCUGCCUCUUCACGCUCCAUGGCCACCUUGACUACAUCCGCACGGUCCAGUUCCAUGACGAGCACCCGUGGAUCGUCAGUGCCAGUGAUGACCAGACAAUCCGUGUCUGGAACUGGCAGUCACGCACCUGCGUGGCCGUGCUGACGGGGCACAAUCACUAUGUCAUGUGUGCUUCUUUCCAUCCCAAGGAGGACCUGGUCGUGUCAGCCUCUCUGGAUCAGACCGUCCGGGUGUGGGAUAUUGGCGCGCUCAGGAAGAAGUCGUCGUCCCCAGCCGACGACAUCAUGCGUCUCACUCAGAUGAACACUGAUCUGUUUGGAGGCAUUGAUGCUGUGGUCAAGUAUGUCUUGGAGGGUCACGACCGUGGGGUCAACUGGGCAUCGUUUCAUCCCACCCUGCCACUUAUUGUUUCUGGGGCAGACGACCGGCAAGUGAAACUCUGGAGAAUGAAUGAUACAAAGGCAUGGGAGGUUGAUACUCUUAGAGGUCACAUGAACAAUGUCUCCUGUGUAUUGUUCCAUGCGAAGCAGGACAUCAUUGUAUCAAACUCAGAAGACAAGAGCAUCCGUGUUUGGGAUGCCACAAAGAGAACUGGUAUCCAGACAUUCAGGCGGGAGCAUGACCGCUUCUGGGUCCUUGCUGCUCACCCUGAAAUGAAUCUUCUUGCAGCUGGUCAUGAUAGUGGCAUGAUUGUGUUUAAGUUGGAGAGAGAGCGCCCAGCUUUCGCCGUUAGUGGCGAUACAGUGUUCUAUGUGAAGGACCGCUUCCUCCGUUUCUAUGAGUACUCAACCCAGAAGGAGGUCCAGGUGGCUCCGAUAAGAAGGCCUGGGUCAGUCAGCUUGAAUCAGUCACCAAGGACAUUAUCGUAUAGCCCAACUGAGAAUGCUGUCUUGAUCUGCUCUGAUGUGGAUGGGGGCUCAUAUGAGCUUUUCAUUGUUCCUAAAGAUUCUGCUGGCAGGGCUGAUUAUUUGCAGGAUGCAAAGAAGGGAUCUGGUGGUUCUGCAGUUUUCAUAGCCCGGAACAGGUUUGCAGUCCUGGAGAAGAGCAGCAACCAGGUUUUGGUGAAGAGUCUUAAGAAUGAGAUUGUGAAGAAAAGCCCUCUUCCUAUUGGAACUGAUGUUAUUUACUAUGCUGGAACUGGUAACGUAUUGUGCAGAGCUGAAGACAGGGUGGCCAUCUUUGAUCUGCAGCAGCGGCUUGUUCUUGGUGAACUCCAGGCAUCUGCUGUUAAGUAUGUGAUCUGGUCGAAUGAUAUGGAGUCUGUUGCACUACUCAGCAAACAUGCUGUAGUCAUUGCAAACAAGAAGCUUGUCCAUCGCUGCACACUUCACGAAACCAUACGUGUAAAGAGUGGUGCCUGGGAUGAAAAUGGUGUGUUCAUAUAUUCCACUCUGAACCAUAUCAAGUACUGCCUUCCUAAUGGGGACAGUGGCAUUAUCAAAACACUUGAUGUUCCUAUUUACAUAACCAAGGUUGCGGGGAACACCAUUGCCUUUCUGGACCGUGAUGGAAAGAACAAGAUUAUUACAGUUGAUGCUUCUGAAUACAUUUUCAAGCUGGCCCUUCUACGGAAGCGCUACGAUCAUGUUAUGAGUAUGAUUAAGAACUCACAGCUGUGCGGGCAGGCAGUCAUUUCUUAUUUGCAACAGAAAGGGUUUCCAGAAGUUGCUCUCCACUUUGUGAAAGAUGAAAAGACCAGAUUUAACCUGGCUCUUGAAAGCGGGAACAUCCAAAUUGCUGUUGCUUCCGCAAAGGAGCUCGAUGACAAGGAUCACUGGUACAGGUUGGGAAUUGAGGCUCUGAGGCAGGGAAAUGUUGGUAUUGUUGAAUAUGCAUACCAGCGUACAAAGAAUUUUGACAGGCUUGCUUUUCUUUAUCUGCUAACUGGUUACUUGGACAAGGUGGGUUUCAUGUCUAAGAUAGCUGGGCAGAAUAACAAUUUGAUGGGCCAGUUCCACAAUGCAUUGUAUCUUGGAGAUGCUAAGAAAAGAGUCGAGAUCUUGGAGAAUGCAGGACAGCUACCACUAGCAUAUGUGACUGCUGCCACUCAUGGGCUCACUGAAAUUGCCGAUAGGCUUGCUGGUGAGUUAGGAGAAGAUGUACCUUCUCUACCGGAAGGGAAAACAAGAUCACUUUUAAUCCCUCCAGCACCUCUCACAGCUUGUGGUGAUUGGCCAUUGUUGAGGGUGAUGCGUGGUAUUUUUGAGGGUGGACUAGAUGCUACUGGGAGGGCAGAGCAGGAGGAAGAUUAUGAUGAUGCUGGUGGUGAUUGGGGUGAUGAAGACCUGGAAAUUGUUGAUGCAAGUCAUGUGAUAGAAAAUGGAGAUGCUGGCCAUGCUGAUGAAAGUGAAACAAAUGAAGAGGAUGGGGACGAGGAAGGUGGCUGGGACCUCGAAGAUCUGGAAUUGCCACCGGAGGCAGAUACACCGAAAGCUAGAGGUCCGGAACGCUCUGCUUUGUUCGUGGCUCCCACACCAGGCAUGCCUGUCAGUCAAAUCUGGACUCAGAAGUCAUCUCUUGCUGGGGAGCAUGCUGCAGCUGGGAACUUUGACACAGCAAUGCGUCUGCUUAGCCGCCAGUUGGGCAUCAAGAACUUUGCUCCUUUGAAGGCCUUGUUUCUUGAUGCACAUAUGGGCAGUCAUACCUUUCUGCGUGCAUUUGCAAGUGCUCCAGUGAUACCUAUUGCUGUUGAGAAAGGCUGGAGUGAAUCUGCCAGUCCCAAUGUGAGGGGCCCACCUGCACUUGUGUUUAGCUUUGCGCAAAUGGACGACAAGCUGAAGGCUGCAUACAAAGCCACAACCGAGGGCAAGUUCCCAGAGGCACUGAGGCAGUUCCUCAACAUCCUCUACACCAUCCCGCUCCUUGUCGUGGACUCACGGAGAGAGGUCGAUGAAGUUAAGGAGCUUAUCGAGAUAGUGAGGGAGUACGUCCUUGGUCUCAGGAUGGAAGUCAAGAGGAAGGAGCUGAAAAACGACGCCACCCGGCAGCAGGAGCUGGCAGCAUACUUCACCAACUGCAAGCUGCAGAAGGUUCACAUGCGCCUCGUCCUCACCAGCGCCAUGGGCCUCUGCUUCAAGGGUGGGAACUACGCCACCGCGGCAAACUUUGCCCGCAUGCUCCUGGACAACGGCCCGAACGAGGCCCAGGCAAAGAAGGCCCGGCAGGUCCUGCAGGCCUGCGGCGACAGGAAGGACGCCCACCAGCUGAACUACGACUUCAGAAACCCGUUCGUCGUCUGCGGGGCCACCUUCGUCCCGAUCUACCGUGGGCAGAAGGACGUCUCCUGCCCCUACUGCGCGUCCCGGUUCGUGCCCUCGGUCGAGGGUCAGCUGUGCAGCAUAUGCGAGCUCUCGGUGGUCGGGGCGGACGCCUCGGGCCUCCUCUGCUCCCCUACACAAUCGAGAUAA